AUUUUUGGGUUUAUGAUAAACUUCUCUGCAUUUCUUGGUGCAGCCACGAUGUAUACAAGAUAUAAAAUAGUACAGAAGCAAAAUCAAACCUGCUAUUUCAGCACUCCUGUUUUUAACUUGGUGUCUUUAGUGCUUGGAUUGGUGGGAUGUUUCGGAAUGGGCAUUGUCGCCAAUUUUCAGGUAUAACCUGGAGCUUUUUCAGUUAUGAGGAGUGGUGGAGUGUAUGUGUCUGAAGAGAGCAGCAGAAAUGCAAGAGGCACACUUAUGCCAUUAUAGCCAUUAAAUGCUUGAUGAGUUUA
rnacentral:sRNA from 1 species